rnacentral:rRNA from 1 species
GGCGCAGGAAAUUUGAGAGGAGCUGUCCUUAGUACGAGAGGACCGGGAUGGACGCACCGCUGGUGUACCAGUUGUUCUGCCAAGGGCAUCGCUGGGUAGCUAUGUGCGGACGGGAUAAGUGCUGAAAGCAUCUAAGCAUGAAGCCCCCCUCAAGAUGAGAUUUCCCAUUCCGCAAGGAAGUAAGAUCCCUGAAAGAUGAUCAGGUUGAUAGGUCUGAGGUGGAAGCGUGGUGACACGUGGAGCUGACAGAUACUAAUAGAUCGAGGACUUAACCUA